UCUCCCCUUCCCCCAGCAUCUCAGUUCUGAGGCAGUUAAAGCAGCAAGUUAAAGCAGCCUGCAGUCCUGAACAGAAAAACUCCACCUGGCUUGACAUGGUUUACAAGGGCUCUGAAGUAACUUGCUGUGCUAAGUGUCCUGAAGUACCUUGGUUUGGACUACAACUGCCAAACUUCAUGGAAGUGCUGGUGUUGCCUUCAUAUAGUCUCUGGCUGCUGGGCCUUAACCUGGGAACAGCAUCCCUGACCCUGAGAUACCCCCAGCCAUGGCUCUGCCUCUCGGCGAACAACCUGAAACUUUAUCUCCCCGCAGCGUGCAGAGACCCGUGGGAUAUUCACACGCUGCACAAUGGCAAUGUCAUGGUGUGCAGUGCAGAACAGCGCCUGAGACCUGGCCUUUGGGUUAGUAAUCUAUCCGGCUCUUAAGGCAUCGGCUUUACCUUACCUCCCUCUCUGCUCUUUCCCCAUCACUGUAUCCUAAUUGCUUUCACAGGAGAAUCCAACAUGCAACUGUUCCUUGCAAUCAAUCAAAUAAACAUG